rnacentral:lncRNA from 1 species
UAAUCCUGCCGGAACACACUCUUCUUGCUGCAUUAGGAUCCAACUGGAAAACAUAAAGAUGAAUUGCUGUAGGCUGGAAAAUCAAUUAGGAGAAAGAGGGGGAUGUGGUUCAGACACAGGACUAGCUUUGUGUUCCCUAUGCUCCGGAGAAACCUCCACCCUGGCCUCAAGGAGGCUGUGAAACCAAAAGGGACCUUGGGUGCCAGCUUGCUGGGUCCUUACUUACUUGGUCCAUCUUCUGGCUGGAAGGAGCACCUGGGCUCUCAGAGUGCCCCCUGACUCUCAGCAGCUCCUUUUCUGGCCCAAGAG